CACGACCGAUGAGGGGGGGGGGGAGGAGAUGGUUGGUUUUGCACGGUGAGGGGGUGAUGAGAACGGUGGCAGGCGGUGUGGGUAGUAGGGUGGGGUAAGGUGGUUUGGUUGCAGGGGAGCUAGGUGGUUUUCGUGGAGGGGCAGAAGGAGCAGUAGUGAGGGGGCAUGCUCUGCCGCGCCAUUAAUUGUGGUGGUGGCAAGGAUAAGGAUGGGAAUGAGGUGGUAGAGAGGAUAGGGAGGAAAGGGGGGAUGGAUUCCUUGGGAGCCAAGGCGGCGAGAGGGGAUCCUCCGCAUCGGUGCAGCAGUGCUGGGUGAGGUGGCGCAUGGCGGCACGGAUGGGAUGCCGGCGACGGCGGCGGCGUUAACCGUGGGUGAGAGGGAACGGCCUCAUGGGCUAGUGAUGAGAACAUCACCUGCUCGGAUACAACCACAUUGGCAAAUUUUGAUUCAAAGGUGAAAAAAUACUUUAUCAAGAUUAUAUUUGAUACAUUUGAUGAAUUGAUGCUGCACCAUGAUGUGUGUUCAUUAUC
rnacentral:lncRNA from 1 species